rnacentral:rRNA from 1 species
CAGGGAAUCUUGCGCAAUGGGCGAAAGCCUGACGCAGUGACGCCGCGUGAGGGAUGAAGGCCUUCGGGUUGUAAACCUCUUUCAGAAGGGACGAAGCGAAAGUGACGGUACCUUCAGAAGAAGCCCCGGCCAACUACGUGCCAGCAGCCGCGGUAAUACGUAGGGGGCGAGCGUUGUCCGGAUUUAUUGGGCGUAAAGCGCCCGCAGGCGGUUCGGUAAGUCGGAUGUGAAAACCCGGGGCUCAACUCCGGGACGCCAUUCGAUACUGUCGGACUAGAGGCAGGUAGAGGAGAGCGGAAUUCCUGGUGUAGCGGUGAAAUGCGUAGAUAUCAGGAGGAACACCGGUGGCGAAAGCGGCUCUCUGGGCCUGACCUGACGCUCAUGGGCGAAAGCGUGGGUAGCGAACAGG